AUUGAACGCUGGCGGCAGGCCUAACACAUGCAAGUCGAGCGGGGUUUUCGGACCUAGCGGCGGACGGGUGAGUAAUGCGUAGGAAGCUGCCCGAUAGAGGGGGAUACCAGCUGGAAACGACUGUUAAUACCGCAUAAUGUCUACGGACCAAAGUGUGGGACCUUCGGGCCACAUGCUAUCGGAUGCGCCUACGUGGGAUUAGCUAGUUGGUGAGGUAAUGGCUCACCAAGGCGACGAGCCCUAGCUGGUUUGAGAGGAUGAUAAGCCACACUGGAACUGAGACACGGUCCAGACUCCUACGGGAGGCAGCAGUGGGGAAUAUUGGACAAUGGGCGCAAGCCUGAUCCAGCCAUGCCGCGUGUGUGAAGAAGGCCUUCGGGUUGUAAAGCACUUUCAGUAGGGAGGAAGCGUUGUGUGUUAAUAGUACACAGCGUUGACGUUACCUACAGAAGAAGCACCGGCUAACUCUGUGCCAGCCGCCGCCGUAAUAC
rnacentral:rRNA from 1 species